rnacentral:lncRNA from 1 species
CGGCCACCACCUGCUCUAACAAAGUCACUGCCUUACUGAGGAAAAAGCCCUGUUCGUUCAAAAACCAAACACAAAGGUCAAACAGGAGCUGGGGGCCUCCUGAGUUUCUCUUCCCCUCAGGACAAGCCCUCAAUGAAACCUACUUCAAAGGGUCAUAAUUAUGAAAGUCUCUCUGCCUUCAGCUCAGAGAAAAUAGCAGUACUGUAACUUUCAUUCACAACGCCUUUCCACUUUUGACCUAUAUCACUAUUUAGAAACACUCUCUGGACAAAGCAAAGAGUUGCAUUCAAUAAACUUCCAUCACUUCCUUCACGGCCCCACCAGAAAGCCACUCAAGUCUUCAAUCUUUAAGGUCUUUAAAACGCUAAAGUUUUAAAACAAGUGGUAUUGCUCCAAGCCAGGAAUGCUGCCCCAAAGAUCACAGAGUACACAACGGGGAGUCCCCAGUUUCGUUUCUGGCUUUACUAAAAUCUGUGUGACUCUCGAAGUUUCAACUCUGCAGCCUCAGUUUGCUCUUGGCUAAAUGAAAAAACUGGCCCAAAUCAUUCUUUCCCAAAGUAUGGUGGGCGUCCAAUGCGAGAUGCAUUAGGAUAGAUAGGCCAGAGAUAGAUUAACAUGUUUUAGUUUAUUCUUUGUGGCAAAUGAUACUAGUUUUCCUAAUGGCAGAGCUAUAAAUAAAAUUUCCCCGUAAAAUAAAUGUGUCUAUCCUUUUUAAAAAUGAGUUACUCUUUAGAAAAAAAAAAAAAACUAGUAAAAAAGAGCUCAGGUACUUCUAGCAACUGUGGUGAAAACCUGGCGUAGGGCGAAGACUUUCGAACCCCAGAGCGACACAGAGGAGACGAACACCCCGAGAGGCUCCCAGAGCCCGUGGGAAGCAGCCGCCAGUCCUCCAGGCUCCCAAAGGAGGUGACUUGGAACUGACCGAGAACGUCAUGAAACUCCCGAGCGCCAGGCCAAAGCCCAAAAAGGAAAAAGACAAGCGAAGGUCCAAGGCUGGAGCGGGGCAGCAGAAAGCGGCCCCAGGCUGGGUGGAAGAAAAAAAGUCUAGGUUUCCACAUUUUUUGUUCCGAAGCAAAAAAGAGGGAGAUCGUGAGAAAGGGGGUACUGCAUCCAUUCUGAGAAGCUGUCAUUUGAAAGACACCCCAAUUUCAGAGAGAUUAAAAUGUGAAAAAAAUAUACUGCCUGUGUUAGUAACUUUUCUCUCAUUGCUGAGACAAAAUACCGACACCCAAGUUAGGGGGGAGGGGUUUAUUUGGCUUACAGUUCCUAGAGGUUUCAGUCCAUAAUCAGCGGGCUCCAAGGCAAAGUGGCUUGGUAGAGGGGCAGUGCAGAGAACCAGUUCAUGCAGCCAGAAUGUAGCAAAAAAGCAACAAGGAACCUUAACAAUGUCUUUUUGCUUCCUUUUUUUUUAGGUUUUUGAGACAGGGUCUCACUUUGUAGCUCAGACUGGCCUUGAACUCACUAUUUAGCCCAGCCUGG